UACAGAGGGUGCAAGCGUUGUUCGGAAUUAUUGGGCGUAAAGCGCGUGUAGGCGGCUUUGCAAGUCGGGUGUGAAAGCCCUCGGCUCAACUGAGGAAGUGCGCCCGAAACUGCAGAGCUUGAGUACCGGAGAGGAUGGCGGAAUUCCCCAAGUAGAGGUGAAAUUCGUAGAUAUGGGGAGGAACACCGGUGGCGAAGGCGGCCCGCUGGGCUGUGGCUGACGCUGAGGCGCGACAGCGUGGGGAGCAAACAGG
rnacentral:rRNA from 1 species